rnacentral:rRNA from 1 species
CCCUUAGAUGUCCUGGGCCGCACGCGCGCUACACUGACACGUUCAACAAGCCUCCUAGUUCGACAGGAUUUGGGAAAUCUUUGAACGCAUGUCGUGAUAGGGAUAGAUCAUUGCAAUUAUUGAUCUUGAACGAGGAAUUCCUAGUAAACGCGAGUCAUCAGCUCGCAUUGAUUACGUCCCUGCCCUUUGUACACACCGCCCGUCGCACCUACCGAUUGAAUGUUUCGGUGAAGAUUCCGGAUAGGACUUUUUUGAUUUAUUUCAAUUCUGUCUUAAAAGCUAUCUAAACCUCAACAUUUAGAGGAAGGUGAAGUCGUAACA